rnacentral:rRNA from 1 species
UGGGGAAUAUUGCACAAUGGGGGAAACCCUGAUGCAGCGACGCCGCGUGGAGGAAGAAGGUCUUCGGAUUGUAAACUCCUGUUGUUGAGGAAGAUAAUGACGGUACUCAACAAGGAAGUGACGGCUAACUACGUGCCAGCAGCCGCGGUAAAACGUAGGUCACAAGCGUUGUCCGGAAUUACUGGGUGUAAAGGGAGCGCAGGCGGGAAGACAAGUUGGAAGUGAAAUCCAUGGGCUCAACCCAUGAACUGCUUUCAAAACUGUUUUUCUUGAGUAGUGCAGAGGUAGGCGGAAUUCCCGGUGUAGCGGUGGAAUGCGUAGAUAUCGGGAGGAACACCAGUGGCGAAGGCGGCCUACUGGGCACCAACUGACGCUGAGGCUCGAAAGUGUGGGUAGCAAACAGGAUUAGAUACCCUGGUAGUCCACACCGUAAACGAUGAUUACUAGGUGUUGGAGGAUUGACCCCUUCAGUGCCGCAGUUAACACAAUAAGUAAUCCACCUGGGGAGUACGACCGCAAGGUUGAAACUCAAAGGAAUUGACGGGGGCCCGCACAAGCAGUGGAGUAUGUGGUUUAAUUCGACGCAACGCGAAGAACCUUACCAAGUCUUGACAUCCUGCGACGGAUAUAGAAAUAUGUCUUUCCUUCGGGACGCAGAGACAGGUGGUGCAUGGUUGUCGUCAGCUCGUGUCGUGAGAUGUUGGGUUAAGUCCCGCAACGAGCGCAACCCUUAUGGUCAGUUACUACGCAAGAGGACUCUGGCCAGACUGCCGUUGACAAAACGGAGGAAGGUGGGGAUGACGUCAAAUCAUCAUGCCCUUUAUGACUUGGGCUACACACGUACUACAAUGGCGUUAAACAAAGAGAAGCAAGACCGCGAGGUGGAGCAAAACUCAGAAACAACGUCCCAGUUCGGACUGCAGGCUGCAACUCGCCUGCACGAAGUCGGAAUUGCUAGUAAUCGUGGAUCAGCAUGCCACGGUGAAUACGUUCCC